rnacentral:rRNA from 1 species
AUGAACGCUAGCGGCAGGCCUAAUACAUGCAAGUCGAACGAGAUUGAGGAGCUUGCUCUUCAUGAAAGUGGCGCACGGGUGCGUAACGCGUAUGCAACCUACCUUAAUCAGGGGGAUAGCCUCUCGAAAGAGAGAUUAACACCGCAUAAAAUCACAAGCUGGCAUCAGCAAAUGAUCAAAUAUUUAUAGGAUUAAGAUGGGCAUGCGUGACAUUAGCUAGUUGGUAAGGUAACGGCUUACCAAGGCUACGAUGUCUAGGGGAUCUGAGAGGAUGACCCCCCACACUGGUACUGAGACACGGACCAGACUCCUACGGGAGGCAGCAGUAAGGAAUAUUGGUCAAUGGGGGCAACCCUGAACCAGCCAUGCCGCGUGCAGGAAGACGGCCCUACGGGUUGUAAACUGCUUUUAUACGGGAAUAAACCUCUUUACGUGUAGAGAGUUGAAUGUACUGUAAGAAUAAGGAUCGGCUAACUCCGU